rnacentral:rRNA from 1 species
CGGAGUGGACGCAUCACUGGUGUUCGGGUUGUCAUGCCAAUGGCACUGCCCGGUAGCUAAAUGCGGAAGAGAUAAGUGCUGAAAGCAUCUAAGCACGAAACUUGCCCCGAGAUGAGUUCUCCCUGACUCCUUGAGAGUCCUGAAGGAACGUUGAAGACGACGACGUUGAUAGGCCGGGUGUGUAUGCGCAGCGAUGCGUUGAGCUAACCGGUACUAAUGAACCGUGAGGCUUAACCUU